rnacentral:rRNA from 1 species
UACGUAGGGUGCGAGCGUUGUCCGGAAUUAUUGGGCGUAAAGGGCUCGUAGGCGGUCUGUCGCGUCGGGAGUGAAAACUCAGGGCUUAACCCUGAGCCUGCUUCCGAUACGGGCAGACUAGAGGUAUGCAGGGGAGAACGGAAUUCCUGGUGUAGCGGUGGAAUGCGCAGAUAUCAGGAGGAACACCGGUGGCGAAGGCGGGUCUCUGGGCAGUAACUGACGCUGAGGAGCGAAAGCGUGGGGAGCGAACAGG